GUGGAUUAGAUACCCUGGUAGUCCACGCCGUAAACGAUGAUCACUAGUUGUAUGGAGUUUCGACCCUCUGUGCAGCAAAGCUAACGCGUUAAGUGAUCCGCCUGGGGAGUACGAGCGCAAGCUUAAAACUCAAAGGAAUUGACGGGGAGCCGCACAAGCAGAGGAGGAUGUGGUUUAAUUCGAGGCUAAGCGAAGAACCUUACCAAGGCUUGACAUCCUGGGAAUCUUUGGGAAACCAUUGAGUGCCUUCGGGAAUCCAGUGACAGGUGCUGCACGGCCGUCGUCAGCU
rnacentral:rRNA from 1 species